AAAAUCUCUUUAAAGCAUCUGCUGAUUAUUGGACCUUAAGAACCAAACGUUUAAUUUGUUUAGCAAAUUCUAAUGGUUUUGACAUCAGGAUUGCCUGGAUUCCAGGUCAUUCCAAUAUCUUGGGAAAUACAGAGGCAGAUUUGUUGGCUAAUAUUGGAAAAGAUUUAAAUAUUCCGAAAUCUAUGGAGAUGGAUUCAAUAGAUAUUUUUAAUUCAAUUAAAACUGAUAUUUUGUGUAAUUAUAAGGAAAAUUGGAAAUUUCGUAUGAAAGAAAAAAAGCAUGUGUAUUUUAAUAUUCAAACAAUCUUCCCAGAUAAACAAUGGUUUAAAAAUUUCCAGUAUAUAGAUAGAAGACAUAUUACAACGUUAAUUAGAAUGCGUACAGGCCAUUGCUUAACAAAAAACCAUUUAUAUAAAAUUAAAGUGAAGGAAGAUCCAUUCUUUUCCGAAUGCAGUCUGUUUGUGUGACCUCUAUCCUAUGUGCCUUUUUGUGUGAUAUAAUCUUCCUUUCAGCACGUCAUUUAUAUAUUUAAUAAAUAAUAAUAAUAACAUUUUACAGUCACAGGUCACAGGUUACCUUCAUAGAAGUUAGUUAUAUUAAAAUUUACCCAUUAUACAUUUUACUCAGAUAAGAAUCAGUGGCCUUGAUAUGGUUUAGAGCCAGUCAACAUCUUGGUCACUCCCAAAUUGAGCUGGCGGUUGCCUUGUAGCAGAGCCA
rnacentral:lncRNA from 1 species